rnacentral:rRNA from 1 species
GACGAACGCUGGCGGCGCGCUUAACACAUGCAAGUCGAGCGAGAACCAGGACUUCGGUCCUGGGGACAGCGGCGAACGGGUGAGUAACACGUGGAUAACCUGCCCUCGGCACCGGGAUAGCCCGGGGAAACUCGGAUUAAUACCGGAUGGCCCUUCCGGCUCACGAGCCGGUCGGAAAAGGUAGCUUCGGCCUCCGGCCGAGGAUGGGUCCGCGGCGGAUUAGCUUGUUGGUGGGGUAACGGCCUACCAAGGCUCCGAUCCGUAGCUGGUCUGAGAGGACGAUCAGCCACACUGGGACUGAGACACGGCCCAGACUCCUACGGGAGGCAGCAGUGGGGAAUCUUGCGCAAUGGGCGAAAGCCUGACGCAGCGACGCCGCGUGAGGGAGGAAGGCCUUCGGGUUGUAAACCUCUUUCAGCUGGGAAGAUAAUGACGGUACCAGCAGAAGAAGCCCCGGCUAACUCCGUGCCAGCAGCCGCGGUAAAAC